rnacentral:lncRNA from 10 species
AAAGAGAAAGUCCUCCCGCCCGAAGCCCAGGAUCGGAGUGAGGACAACAAAAUGUCUAAAUCACCUUUCCAAGGCUUCAACAAUGAAUGUAUUUUCCAAAUCAAUGUUGGAGUACAUGGUCAGAAAAGAUGUCUUUUGGACUUGUGAAAUUACUUAUAUAAAAAUUCUUACCAAGAUGGAAGCAUAAAAAACACAUUUAUUUAUAUGUUUACUAAAUCUUCUUUUAUUGAAAACAAUAAGACAACCUGAAAGCAAGUCUAUCAGAGAAAAUCUGGGACUUAUGUCUUCACUGACAAAAUAAUAAAUGAGACAAAGUGAUAGAAGACCUUUGUCAUGACACCUGUUUGCUACCAGAGCCCCAGGCCAUCGUCAUCCACUGAUGUCUCCACAUUAAUUCUGCAGAGGUCCUGGACAGUCUUCUCUGCCCUGUCUAAUGGUCAGUUAAUUCUCCUUGUAAGCACAUCAUGGCUGACCAGGUGCUGGACCGCGCAAAGAAAGGUGUCAGAGCUUUCAGCUUAAGCCUUGAUUGGGUGGUGAGUAGGUCUCCUGCAGCUAAUCAGUGGCUUUAGAAACCCUGGAGUCCUUCAGAAACCCUAAAGUUCUUCCUUCUGAUUUUUCUGGUAGACCAAAGGAAAAGGCCAACAACAAACAAUUUCUAAAUAAGAAAUUUCCACCUUAGCUAAAAGCAAAAGGCCUUUGAUACUCUAUAAGAUUGAUCAACUCACUUCAGUUGAAAUAAUGGUUUUCUGAAGUCAAGGCAUGAACAGCCUUUCCCCACUGGAUGGGAUGCUCAGAUUACCAGCCCUGGAAUGAAACAAAAGGAGAAGACUGUCUCACCCCACACUUCUCAACCAUUGGCCAUUCUGAGAUGACACCUGCAGAGCCACAGCCCCACCUGCCCGAGCACCCACGGGUGCCUUGGUCAUCCUGCACCAUGGAGCUGCUUGUCUCUCCUCUGUGUAAUCUAAUCUUCUAUGAGUCCAGUUUUUACAUGUUUAAAUUUCUUUUCCUUUUGUUUUUAGUUUACACAUAAUAAUUGUACAUAUUUAUGGAAUACAGACUGAUAUUUUCAUACAUGUAUCUACAUUGUGUAAUGAUCAAAUCAGGGUAAUUAGCAUAUCCAUCACCUCAAAUAUUGAUCACUUCUUUGUCUUGGGAACACUCAAAAUCGUCUCUCGUAGC